rnacentral:antisense_RNA from 1 species
UGUUAUGGCGGCUGUGCGCGGGAGACUUCAAGUCUGCCGGGUUUUCUGGUCCCCGGGUUCCAACCUGCGUACAGCUGCCACCCUU